rnacentral:tRNA from 1 species
GCCUCUGUAGCUCAGUUGGUUAGAGCGCUGACCCGGAAUCGCAGGGCCGUAGGUUCAAUUCCUACGAGAGGAC